UAUUUAAAAUUACUUGUCAGGAAAAGGAGCUACAGAGAAGAGGGGCUGUGACAGGGGAAGGCAAACAUCCGCACCGUUCAAUAAUUCAGCGCAGAGCCGGUCUUGGCUGCUAAGUUACCACCACAAGGAGCAUUUUUAAAGUCAAACCGAAUUUCCAUGAGAAGUCAUGCCUGAGCAAGCUGGAUCGUUGCCAAAAGACAAGAGAAGACUCCAGACCUUUCUGUAAACAGGCCCUGAGAGAUACGGGGUACUGCAUGAUAAAGCUGUCAGUCUGGUCGCAGCAGCCUGGCAUGUGACUCAUUUGCAUAUGUCACUUCCUUUAGCGUAAUCCAGUCCAUGGGCCUCUAACUUCCAAUCCUGUGGGCAAAUAAAGCUGUCCAGCACAACCUGUGACGAUCAGAUUCAGGCUGUAUUUAGUGGGGGAGGGAUCUGGCCUCAUAUCCUUCAUCUUUAUGCUGCUCCACUCCAGCUCACAGCCCCUCCAACUGGAUGGAGCUCUUCGAAGGGAGGGGCAUUUCAGAGGAGGGUCUCAGGGAUAGCCCCUUUGUGGGGCUGGGCCACCAGGUUGGGGAGAGUGGAGCUGCUGGAACUCUGGAGGGACUGGCUGAGCCAGCUUUCCCAGUGCACCCCUCUGGGAGGGCAGGCUCUCGGUGUAGGCUGCCCAUCUCCUCGCUCUCCUCUGGCACUGCUCCUAUGCCCCCUUGGUUAGCCUGGGAGCCCAUACUACCCAGACUUGGGGUCAAUAAGCAGAGGACCUGUAAGGAGUCCUUGAUGGGAUGUACAGCACUGCCCAACCCUGCACAAGCUGGAUGCCAGGCUUGGUGGUCAGGACACAGACUGCUUUCAGCUCCCACAUGCCCCUCCUGCUAGCUGCUUUGUGCAGAGUAGUGGCUACAUGGCUGCAGGUGAGAGCCCUGCCUGUGAACAGGCCACCAGGAUGCUGGGACAUACGAGUUGAUAACCCAUGGGCUCCUGAGAGCAGAGAUUGUGACUUACUCAUCUUUGAUGUAGCCAAGUUCUAACAAACCUAAAUGUGCAGCCAUUUGUAAGAGAGGAUCAUGGAAUGAAUACGGGCAUUGAGUCAAGCAGUCUGUGUUCCACUGGCGGUGUGACCUGGGGCAGGCCAUUUCACCUCACUGAGCCUUAGUUUCCUCACCUGUAAAAUGUGAAAAAUAUCACCUUCCUUACCAGGCUUUUCUGAGGAUUUAAUGACAUCAUGUUCAGUGCCCAGUAUGGGUGGAUAAUACCCAGGAGUUUCCUCCUCUUCUCCUCCUAAGUUGACUUGAUGCCCCCCGCUGAAGAUCAUGGCUGAACUGGCUCAAUUCGGAUCCAGGACUCCUGGCUUUGUCUCUUCCCUAGUUGCCCACCACACCCAUGGACACCCUUAGGUAGUUUAUCCUUUUGGGACAACUGGAUUUAUUAGAAAAGGGUAUUCUGGGGUGGAAUAAGGCCCUUUUCAGUCCCCAUGGAGCCUUUUUGGAAGAUGAAGUUCUCAAACCCACAAGAGAAUUCAUAAGACGAGCACACCACCCACAGUUAGGUUUCCCUCUCAAGUGCUUUAUCUCCACGUGGGGCAAAUAGCUCUUUGUCUGCAUAUGUUAUUGGAGCUUUUGGAGUCCAGCCUUCAGAAGAGCUCUAAUUUUUGGAUUCAUAUCAGUUUAUUAGAGAAGCCUAGUUCUAAGGAUUAGCAAAUGGGUAGGUGCUCAGCCAGCCCAGAACAAGCAGAGCCAUGACAGAAGUUUCUGGAAUCUCACAGAGUCGGUGUCUUCAUGGACUCAGGGGGCCUAAAUCCAAUAGCCUGGAUUUGUCACUUUCCCUUAUUCCCUUAUCAAACUCUUCCCUUUUGGACAUCAGAGAAGGAAAGUACUUCCUGUAAGGGGGCAAUUUGCAAAGCUUCAUGGAAGUGGCAUUUGAGUGUGGCCUUAAAGGAUGUGUAGGAUUGGGAACCAUAGAUAUUUAGAGGAAGGCAUUCCUGGCAGAAGGAACAGCAGCAAAACACAGAAGUGGAAAUUAGUAGCAGCAUUAAUGGAGAAUAAUUUGGGGAAUAAGAUAUACAAAUGGAAUAAUAAAAAUAGCAUUAAUUAAACAUUGUGGGAGUCAUUCUGUAAGAUGGCCCCUGGUGAUCUCCGCCUCCUGUUCUUCAUGCCUUAUGUAACCGCUCUCCUUGAGUGUGGUCUGGAAUUACUGACUCACUUUCAAUGCACAGAAUGUAUCAGAAGUAAUGGGAUAUUCCUUCUGAGAAUAGAUUAUAAAAAAAGAGUGUGGCUUCCUUCCUGGCAUUUUCGCUUGCUCUCUCUUUAAUUGUGUGCUCCAAACAAAGCCAGCUGCCAUGUUGUGAGGAAGCCCUGUGUGGAGGACCACAUGGUGAGGA
rnacentral:lncRNA from 10 species